UCAUUCAAAACACCUCUUAAAUCCUUUCCUGUAAAAUAAAACCUCCGUUAAACCGCUCCUCUCUGCUCACUCACUAGCACACAGAUCCUCGUGAAAAUUGGGCGAACCGAGAAGAAAAAAGAAAGUUCUUGAAGGUCCGAUUCUCUGUCUUAUAUGUGUUUUUUUUCUUUAAUCCUCAGUUAACUUCAUGCUCGUUCUCUUGGGUUCUGUUAAUUCGUUCCUGUUACCUUCAUCGAUUUUUCUUUUUCCUUCUGUACAAGUUUACAAGUAGUAUGUAUCUAAAUUGUUCAUCUUAUUAGUUUUAAUUUUUGUAGUUCUUGUUUUUAUGUCCAAAAAAUAAAUAUAUUAAAGAGGAAAAUAUCAUGUUGUUCUUACUAAUUAUCGUUGUUGUCAGUUUUUUUCAUCUGUUUGGAAUCGAGGGCCUGUCAGAAACAAUCUUUCCUUCUUUUUAACGAAGAGGUAAGGUCUAAGGUCUGCAUAUACACAUUCUUUUCAAAACCCACUUAUAGAAUUAUAUUGGGUAUGUUGUUCUUCUUGAAAUAGAAGAAAGGAAAACCCCCAAAUUUUAAAACCCUUAAACACCCAUUCUGCCGUAACCCUAGCACAUCCAAACCCAAAUGUUUGCUUUCUCUUCCCCUUUUGACUACAUUUAACUUAAUUGUUUGCUGUAUCUUCCCCAGUGUAAUUUCACACACACACACACACAUAUACAUGUGUAUAUAUAUAUACACACAUACACACACACGAGAUAAAUUGGUUCUGAACGAUUGAGAUCAUGAUUUUUUUGAUCAUUAUUGUCGUGUUUAUGCUGUUGUUGUAAAUUGAUUUGCGUAAAUCGGUUGUUUUUGAUAUAUAGUCCCAUCUUGGCACAAUUAUCCUUUUACAUGACUCCCUUUAAGUCACGUAUAUUUUGGUAAUGUGUUUUGGGCACAGUUAAUUAUUGUCAAGUCCUUAAUGCCGUUACCGUCGAAACACGUAAGUUUUAUUUGUUUCUCUGUUAAUGCAAAGUUGUAAGAAGGAGACGAGUAAAAUUGAAUAUGAUUAAAAUUGCAAGAACACGUGGUUUGAGUAUUUAUAUAUAUUCCCUUUUUUCAAGCUAUGUGAUGUAGUCAGAUAUAUAGUUUAAGAUAAAAAUAAAGGUUCUUUAAGCUUGUAUGGCUAUAUAGCUUUAUUAAAAAAGUAUUUUUGUGGCUAUAAAGUUAAGUGUUUCUAAUAAGGAAAUGAUGUAAUGGAAACUGAAAUGAAGAGAAUAUUGAACUAAUAUCCAUGUUAUAAAAGAUCUUGUGCUGGAUAGAGUGUGUAAAUCUUUCCAUGGUUGGAUAUUUUAGUUUUCUGUCGUUACUGUUUAUUUUCAAGAAUAAACUUGUAAGUAGUAAUUAGCUCAACUUUUUUUACUUUAUUAUCUUUAUUACUUUUUCUAUCAUACUUAAUAUUGUCAUCAUAGCAUCUUUACUCUUGUAUUUUUUUUCAUACUUGUUCUGAAAAAACAAUUUUCUUGGGCUAAGGUUCUAUGGGAAAUAUCUUACAAAGGUGGAGGAAAGGUAAGGGUACACUUCAUCCUCUCUAGACCCCACUUAUGAAACCCACACAGAGUAUGUUAUUGUUGUAAUUAGCUCAAUUUUAAUAUCAUAAUUCCAUGUUUUCAUCAUAUAAAUUCUCGUUCAGGUUUUCUUUCUUGUUUCCAAAUACAAACACAUUUCAGAAAACAAACGACCUAAAGGAAAUGGAUGUUGAGAAGAAGAUAUGGGCAGCAUCCGCUAUGCUUUUCUUGACUGUGGGUAUGGGCUCUCUUGGUCACGCAGCAUUGCUUGUUGGCACAGUUGUCGCAACACUACUGGGCGGACUUUUUUUAGUCCGUGAUUUUCCUCCAGUACUGAAUAUGAGGCCUCCCAUUGAAUGUUUGUAACAUUGAAUUUAGAAGUUUGCAAUGUAAAUUGCAUUGGAUUAUAAUUUUUAACUGGCGACUAGGAUUUUGAUCGGUGCUUAGGUUUUUGUCAUUUUUGUCUGUUGUUUAAUCUGUUUGGAACGACAAUGAAAAUAUGGAGUCAUUGGGGGUGUGUUUG
rnacentral:lncRNA from 1 species